AUUGAACGCUGGCGGCAGGCCUAACACAUGCAAGUCGAACGAGUGGCGAACGGGGGAGUGACACGUGGGUGACCUGCCCUGCACUUCGGGAUAAGCCUGGGAAACUGGGUCUAAUACCGGAGAGUGUGGGAUGGGCCCGGGGCCUAUCGGCGUGUUGGUGGGGUAAUGGCUACCAAGGCGCGACGGGUAGCCGGCCUGAGAGGGUGGACGGCCACAUUGGGACUGAGACACGGCCCAGACUCCUACGGGAGGCAGCAGUGGGGAAUAUUGCACAAUGGGCGAAAGCCUGAUGCAGCCAUGCCGCGUGUAUGAAGAAGGCCUUAGGGUUGUAAAGUACUUUCAGCGGGGAGGCGUUACCUGCAGAGAAAGCACCGGCUAACUCCGUGCCAGCAGCCGCGGUAAUAC
rnacentral:rRNA from 1 species